AGUGAACGCUGGCGGUAGGCCUAACACAUGCAAGUCGAACGGCAGCACAGUAUGAGUUUGCUCUUACGGGUGGCGAGUGGCGUACGGGUUGGGAAUACAUCCGAAUCUACUUUUUCGUGGGGGAUAACGUAGGGAAACUUACGCUAAUACCGCAUACGACCUACGGGUGAAAGCAUUGGCUCUUCGGUCCUUGCGCGAUUGAAUGAGCCGAUGCUGUGUUAGGUAGUUGGCGGGGUAAAGGCCCACCAAGGCGACGCUCCGUAGCUGGUCUGAGAGGAUGGACAGCCACACUGGAUCUGAGACACGGUCGCGGCUCCUACGGGAGGCAGAAGUGGGGAAUAUUGGACAAUGGGCGCAAGCCUGAUCCAGCCAUACCGCGUGGGUGAAGAAGGCCUUCGGGUUGUAAAGCCCUUUUGUUGGGAAAGAAAGGCAGCAGGUUAAUACCCCGCUGUUCUGACGGUACCCAAAGAAUAAGCACCGGCUAACUUCGUG
rnacentral:rRNA from 1 species